rnacentral:rRNA from 1 species
CGCCUUUUGAACUAUAUAAAAGGUCCAGCCUGCCCAGUGACUCUGUUCAACGGCCGCGGUAUCCUAACCGUGCGAAGGUAGCGUAAUCACUUGUUCUUUAAAUGAGGACUAGUAUGAAUGGCACCACGAAGGUUACACUGUCUCCUUUCUCUAAUCAGUAAAACUAAUCUUCCCGUGAAGAAGCGGGGAUCCUUAUAUAAGACGAGAAGACCCUAUGGAGCUUUAAACGAAAUAACAUCUACCAACUCACCUAAUAAUUUCAGAAAAUUAACACUAAACUUGGUAUAAUGGUUACUAGUUUUAGGUUGGGGUGACCGCGGAGCAAAAACCAACCUCCGCAUUGAAUGGACUUACAAUCCUUAACUAAAAGCCACAACUUUAUGUAUCAAUACAUUGACAUCCAUUGACCCAUUAAUUUGAUCAACGAACCAAGUUACCCUAGGGAUAACAGCGCAAUCCAUUUCAAGAGCUCCUAUCGACAAAUGGGUUUACGACCUCGAUGUUGGAUCAGGGUAUCCCGGUGGUGCAGCCGCUACCAAAGGUUCGUUUGUUCAACGAUUAAAACCCU